AACUGUAAAAUAAAUUGUACAUAAGUGAAGAAGACACAUGAUCGGACAUUGCCGAGUCUUUUUUUUUUUAUUAAAAAAGCCAGAAUAUGUGAUGUAAAAUUGUUUCUACAUAAUUUUUAAUGGGAAACUUGCACGAUCCUCAGCAUGCUGCACGCAUGAAGGACCAACAGUGCGGAAAUACCACAAGUACCACUGAUCACUGCGUAACUUGCCAUUCCAGCCAUAACUUGUAGCAUAAACAAUAUCUCGUAAAUUGGCGAUUGUUGUUCGUUUAUAAUAAUGAAAUAACUGGGACAAGGUAACGGUCUAAUAGUAAUAUUGUCAGCAGUAAUGAUGGUUCCCUUCAGAAGGGGAAGGAUCGUCCGAUAGCAUAAACCGCCGCCAUACAUAGUGAACGCAGCGAUCAAGACAACCCUCCUUCCGAUCUUCAUUUUCGAGCGAAAAAUCAAUCGCUCUUCUUCCGUGGCUUGUAUCCAAUCAUGUCUGAUCGCGUGUAAUCCUUCUUGGAUCUCUUUUCUUCGCCAAAGAAUAAUGAAACACGUACAUCAAAGUUGGAAUCAUUAUCAGAAAAAAAAGGAAAUAUGUGAAUAUAUUCCCCAAUCUUUGGAGUACUUUUAAAAAGAAAGAGAUAUAUUUUCCAUGAUUGAAUGCGUCGAUGUGACUGGUCACGCGCAUAUAGCAAAACUGGAAUUCGGCUUGGUAUUGAAACAUUGCGCUUGCGUAUACGGACUCAACAUUGAAUUCAUAUCAUUGAAACUAAUUUAUCGAAGAAUAGAAAAUUGGUUGAAAUUACCCGUUUCAACUUUCCGCAAAUGGCGCAAGUUAUUCCAUGGACAAAAGCAGAUUUCGUGAAAUUGCAGAAAAUUGAGAUACGUAUUUAGAAAUCUGACGAUAUCAUAUUUGCAGUGGUUUGAAGUUUUCAAUAAACGUUGUUUGUAAAGUUUGUGCAAUACGAACAGUUAUUAUCUAGAUGGUAUCCCAUUGUUGCCUUUAUGAUCUGGAAAAUAAAAUUAGAACCCAGCAGAAUUAACUUAAUAUAAAAAAUGGAGAAAUCUAAUUUCUGGAUACGUACGUCGGUGAAAUCGGUACCAAUCUAUCGUGAUGGACAUUCUUCUUACAUUAUUGCCCUGAAUGAAGUUUAAACGUGUGACACUUAUCAUGAAAGUGUGCAAAAUGUAACAAAGCACAUAUACUUCAUCAAUGAGAAUUUGACCAACGUAACACAUCGUGAAAGUGACACCGAAUACAGAUGCUUCUAACAAAAGAUAGAUUAUCGCAGCUGUGGAAUCGCUAUCUUCCCAUUCCUGAAACAUUACCAAUGACGUGUUACGGAUCAUUUAAAAAAGGAAAAAAAAAAAUUCUAUCUUUAAAAGAAGCUUUUGUUCAUACCCUGAUAGCACAGUAUCCAAUCACGCAUCCUAUGCCUGUCUCAUCAAUGAUCUCGAGCAGAAAAAGAUACGUGGUAAUGUGUUCAACAUCAUUUAAAAAUCUAAAAUCAACUUCCAGUUACAGUACACAUAAUCUUUUAAACUACAUUAAAAUAUCAACUUUUCUUUUUUCGUUUUCACUCACUGUUUGAUCUUCGUCUGAUAACGAACAAUAUCCGUGAUUUUCAUAUGUACAGCACUCUCGUUAAUAUCCGGCUGCUUCGUAAGCUCGUUUAUCUUUUUCACUAAAAUACGCAACAAACUGCUUGCAUGCAAGCAAAGCAUGGCGCACAUACUAGUCGUACCGCACAUAAUUGUAUAACUAAAUAGUCCACCGAUGACUUGCAAUAUGAAAACUAUCUCGUAAUUCGGAGUAAUUUGUUCAUUAAAAAAUAUGUAAUAACCGGGACACGGUAGCAAUCUAAUAGUCGUGUUAUCCGGCAAAAGUAUUCUACCUUUCGAAAGAGGAAUAAAUGUUCGAUAACCCAAACCUGCACUGUACAUAAUGAUCGCUACCACUGACAUCAGUCUGUGCCCGAUACUCGCUUUGCUACGAAAUAUCAAGCGAUCCUCUUCCGAGAUAUUCGUGCAAUCUUUCUUCAUCUCGUUUAACAAGUAACAUAAUUUCUUCGCCGAUCGUAGUACCAACGAGUAUCUGCACAAUUGCAGAUAACCGUUUAUCAACGGUAUCAAUAUCUUCACCUUUUUCCUGCUGUCUUUCUCUUUCAAAAAAAAAUGCAGAAUGCCUGGUAUCAGUAUAACCAGUUGCACCGAAUAACACAUAAAAAUUAAAAUGCAGUUUCGAGUUCUCGAAAAAAUGGAAGAUGUGGCGCGAUUUGGCCAUGCGCCCAAUUUUCCCAGAAGCAUAUACGCGAACCAUAUGCUGUGUCUCAUGUCAUUUUCCGCGUUCCCUAUUCGUGACAUUUUUUUAAUGAUCGGUCGAACGAAUGAUAGGUUGAACGUAACUCCACUGCGCAUCGUAACUGGAAAUGGCGAUGAUUUCCGAGACUUCAUUGCGCUUGCGUGUUUAAAAAUUUAAAUAUCCGCGAAUUCAACCGUCGAAUUGUUACCGUGAAACGAUUUUUUCACAUGUGGAUUGUGGAAUAGGGUUUUGAAUUUUUACAAAAGGAUAAGAAAAUUGAACGAAAUUACCUGUUUGAACUUUCCUCAAAGAGCAUAGGUUUUUCGAUGAAUAAACGAUAUUGUGUAUCGGAAGAGUAGAAUUUUUUUUUUCUUUUGAUAUAUUGAUAUACCGUUGAUAUCUUUGAUCGUUGAAGAAAUGAUAUUUGUUAUGAUAAUGUUCGAAGAAAUGGAAUUGUGUGUUAUUUUCAGAAGAGAAUUGAAUUGAAUUGAGUGUUUGAAAAUCUGACGACUUCGAGUUUGCAAUGAUUUGUAGUUUCUACCAGACGUUUUUCACUGUCCAUAAAGUUUACACGGGUUACGAACGGUUAUUACAGUGAUAGUAAGUAAAGGGGAACUCUUGUGUUUCAAUUAUUAAAAUUCUACGUAAAACGGGGGCAGUAACAUCGAUUUUUAAAAUUAUAUAUUAAAAAUAUAAAAUAGAAUUAUGCUAUACUUAAUAUAAAAACUUUGACUUUUUUAAAUGAACGUGAUUUGGAAGACAUAUUUUAUCAGUGCUAUGGAUAAAAUUAAGCACGAAAUUAAAAGAAAAAAAAAUUACAGAUUGUGUAUGCUGUUUACAAGGAAAUUUUUAUGUAAAAAUCUUACUUAUGUAAUGUAAUACUUCAUAUCUUUUAAAAGAAAUUUUUAUCGAUUUCAAAGUGGACAAGAAUGGCUAUUACUGAUGUUUCAACAGAUAUUUGACUAUUUCAAAAAAUAUGAUAACUUAGGUAACUUUUUGCAACAUGUUCAAGUAUCCUACAGUUGUUUUUAUGAUCUGAAAUAUAAAAUCAGAUCCAUGUACGAGAUAUGUGAAACACAAUUUAAUAUUUUGAUACAUACGUCGGUAAAAGUGGCUAAAGAUAUGUCUACAACUUUUCCUGCUGGAACCGAUACCAGUCGAGCGUGAUAGACAUCUGUCUAACAUUAUUGCCCUGACAAAAAUAAUGGUUAAAACAAAAUUUCUGUGAUAACCAUGAGAGCAUAAAAAGCAUUGUAUAUAAAAGCAUAGUAUACUUCGUCAAUGAGAGUUUGACCGACAUAACACAUUAUGAAUGUGCAACUGAUGACAGAUGCUUGCAUCAUAAGGUGAAUUAUCAUAGCUGCUGCGUUACUAUCUUCCCAUUCCUAAAAUUACAAGUAUUAUCACUACAAGUUCAUAGUAUAAACAGAUGAUCAUUUUAUACCGUGACAACGUUAUAUCCAAUCACGCACCCUAUACUCGUUUCGACCAUGAUCUCGAGAAGAAAAAGUUGCAGGUAACCGUUCACCUGUGGUAUCAUCAUUUUCAUCUUUUUCCUCCCGUUCUUCUCUUUCAAAAAUACGUGCAAAAAUCCUGGAACCAAUACUAUUAAUUGCAACGUGUAACAGGUAAAUAUCAAGUACCAAUUGAAAAUCUUUGAAAGUGUGGAAGAUGAGACGCGGUUUGGCCAUGCGCCCAGUAUUCUCAGAAGCGGAUACGCGAACCACACGGAGACUUCGUUGCGCUUGCGUGUUAUAAAGAUUUAAAUAUCCACAAAUAUGAAACGAUUUUAAUGCAUGUGGGGAAUAAUGUUUUGAAUUUUUACAAAAGGAUAAGAAAAUUGGAUGAAAUUACCGCUGCUCGCGAUGCUUGCUCUCUAUGAGAAGUUUUAUAGUAUCUGCUAUUUCUUUUUUUGAAAGCGGUUUUAGAAAAGUUCACCAAGAAUAGCAUACGUAUAAUUAUAUGAAUAUAUAUAUAAAUUUUAUGAAAAACAUUAAAAUAUUGUGAACACACGUACUUGUAGUGAAAUUAAACAUGUAAACUUUCACGGAUUUACGAUUUUCCAGAAAAAUGUUUUUAUUGGUUGCAAAGUUUACACGGGAACCAUAAUUACAGGAAUGGUAAAUAAAUGUGAAAGGGGGUUUUAUACGCGAGGGGAACAAGUUACACACAAAGUUCUGUAAAAAAAAUAGAAGAAAAUAAAAAUGACAAUAAUAUGAAAAUUAUCUUUUAAUCUCAGUCGACUGCUUCCUGUUGUAUCGCACGUAUUUGUUUCAAAAAGUGAGCUCAAGCAACUGUUCGUAAUAUGUUCAAAUAUCCUACAGAUGUCUUUACGAUCUGGAAAAUAUAAUUAGAAUAAUGUAUGAAAAGGAAAUUUAAUUUUUCUUAUAAAUACAUACAUCGGUAAACGUGAUCAACGAUAUAUCUACAAUUUUGCCAGCUGUGACUUUUAUUGGAUAAUUCGACAUAAUAAUAACCAGUAUCAAGCCACGCGCCUCAUUCACAGGAUCAUUUACGGUGAUAAGGCAGUAUCCGAUCACGCAAGCUCCGCACACGUAUUCGAGAAUUUCGCAAAAAUAAAGAUAAGACGUGAGUUGUUCGACGUGAUUUAAAAAGCUGAAACGAGAUUUCGUGCACUCCAUAAAUAUGAAUACAAUCUAUUCCAUAAUAUAAAAUAUAUAUCCAUGUAUCAUAUUUUUACUCACUCUAUAAUCUUCAUCUGGUACUCAACAAUAUCCGCGAGUUUCUUACGCACAACCGUCUCGCAUUCAUCAGACUGACAGGAAGAUGUACAAAAUCCCUGGGAUCAACACCAUCAAUUGAAUGAGAUAACAGAUAAAUAUUAAACACCAUUUCAGAAUUGUUGAUAAAACGGAGGAUGGCGAGGAUUUUGGCCAGGCGCCUAAUAUUUUCAAAAGCGGAUACACGAGUUUCAAGGAGUAAGAAUACUGCAUCGUUUACAAAGUUUGCUGUUACCAUCUCUGUCGUGAUAAAUAUAAAAUAAAUACAAAAGAAACUCACUCUAUGAUCCUGUUCUGAUAGUCGACAAUAUUGGCGAUCUUCUGUUGCACAACUUUUUCGUCCUUGUCAUUCGCAAGUUCCAUCACUUUGUUCGUCAGGAUCUUCAACAAACCGCACAUAUGCAAGCACAGCAUCAAACAAAUACUCUUGGUGCCGCAUACAGCUGUAUAGAUGACAAAUCCGCCGAGAACUUGGAGCGUGAAAAUUAUCUCGUAGUUCGGGCUAACUUGCUCGUCCAAGGAGCCAAAGUAACCCGGGCAGGGUAACAAUCUUAUAGUCACGUUGUUGGGUAAAACGAUUUUGCCUUUCGAAAGUGGAAGAAUCGCUCUGUAAAAAAAACCUCCACCGUACAUGGUGACCACCACUACCAUCGUCAGCUUGUGCUCGAUGGACGCCCUCGUGCUGAAAAUUUGUCGAUUCUCCUCCGUGGCUGUCAUCCAAUCCUUCCUUAUCUCGUCCAAAAUAUGUACAGAAGGCCUGGGACCAUGAAUAUCAGUGUGAGCAAAUACGAGAGAAAAAUUAUAACGUAAUUUGAUAUUUUGGCGAACGCGGAUGAUGAGACGCUCAAUGGCCAGUAGCCGAGCAUUCUCGAGAACGGAUAUGCAAACCAAAAGGAUCAUUCAACCAUACCAUGAUAAGGCAAUAUUUACGAUCACAACAUUGUAUACGUAUUCAAGAAUCUCGCAAACAUAAAACGUAAAAUAAAAAGCUGAAAUCAAUCGUUGUUGUCACUCCAUUAAUAUAAAUAUAAUCAUUUUCUAUAUAAAAUAUUCAUAUACGAUAUAUCAAAUUUUUAAUCAAUUAUUUGUACUCACUCUACGAUCUUCAUCUGAUAUUCGACAAUAUCUGCGAACUUCUUAUAUAUAUCUCACUUCCAUCAAAUGAACUGUUACUUUUAUUGGAUAAUGUGACAUAAGGAUCAGUAAUAUCAAGCUGCGCGCCUUGUUUACAGAAGUUGACCGACGUAGCAUACCGAGAAGGUGCCAAUGACGCAAGUUACUUGGAAGACAACAUAAAUCACCAUAGCCAUAGCAUUGCUGUCUUCCCAUUCCUAAAAUGCAACUGAUAAUAUAUCAUUGAAAUCAUCGUUAUUUUCAAUAUAACGCAUCGAAUCAUUAUAUAUACCAUGAUUAUGCAAUAACCAAUUAUACAUAUAAUCAAUACUUGGAUAACAACUUCGAUAAGAUAAAUAGCGGGUACGAAUUGAUCAAGUUGAUUCAAAAAUCUGAAAUGAAGAUUUUCGUGGAUUAAAUUUUCUAAUUCGUACAAUUAAUCUCUGUAUUCUUUUUCGAUACUCGCUCUUUGAUCCUCGUCUGAUAUUCAACGAUGUGCACGAUCUUCUCCUGCACAAUUUGUUCAUCACUGUCAUUCGUAAGAUCUACUAUCUUGUUCGUCAAGAUCUUCAGCAAACCGCACAUAUGCAAACACAGCAUCAAACAAGCACUCUUGGUGCCGCAUAAAACUGUGUAAAUGAUAAAUCCUCCGAGAACUUGUAGCGUGAAAAUUAUCUCGUAAUUGGGCGUAGCUUGCUCGUUCAAGGAACCAAAGUAACUCGGACAAGAACGUAUAGAAGGCCUGGGAUCAAGACUAUCAAUUGCAAUAAAUAUAGGAUAAAAAUUGUGAAGGAAUUAAAAAAUUUGGUAACCGCGGAAGGAGAGACCAGUGGCCAAUAACCGAGCGUUCUUGAGAACGGAUAUGCAAACCAGAAGGAUUCACCUUUUCAGUAAAUAAAUAAAUUUUUUUAUGAUUCUGAAAUAUAAUUCUAAAAUUUUGAAUUUAAUAUUUUAAAAUAUUUAAGAAAUAUUUUAUAUGAUAAUUAUAAAAGAAUUAAAUAUUUAUUUUAUUUCUUUAAUUGUAAUUAGAAGUUACGAUAAUAUUUUUGUAAUUUUCAAGAAAAGUUUUUGCAAAGUUUAUAGUUGAUGGGAUUGAUGAUUACCACUUUAGUGAGCAGAUGAAAUGGUAGUAUUCAUAGAGGGCAAUUUUCCACAUAAUUAUGUUCAAUUAUUGAAAUUUCACAUAAGAUGGAAAAUAAUGUAAGAAUGGUUUUAAAGCUCUAAACGAUUGUGGAAACCAUAAUGUGUUUGAGAGCACAAUAUUAUUUUCAAUUAAAUAUUGUGUAUCAUAUGCGUCGUUCUAUAAAUAAUUUGUUGAUGCGUUGAUGGCUAUAGCGGAACAUCAUAGCUAUCGUGAAAUAUAGGAAAGGAUAAUUCUAGUCAACGAUAUUGAUGAUAUCAUAUCGAUAGAGCUAUUCCAGAAGCACACAGAAAAACGAAUCGUAUCUCCGAAUAAAGAUCAUAUAUCAUAUAAUAAAAUAUUGAAUAUGUAAAUUAAAUAAAUUAAAAGUGAAGAAUAAGUUUUCAAAUUUUUGCAUAAUUUGUUCAAUAUAUCCAGAUAUCAAACAUUUGAAAACAGAUUACCAUAAUGGAACAUUUAAUUGUGAUGUGAUAAGGCAAUGUCUAAACUGCAUCUAAGAAUCAUAUUUCAAUCAUCAUGCACUCCAUUGAUAUAAUAAUUUCUAAUUUAUAAACAAUCUUUUUCGGGAUAAAAUAUACAUACAACAUAUACUGACUUUCUACUCACUCUGUAAUCUUCAUUUGAUAUUCAAUAAUGUCCGCAAGCUUCAUAAGUACAAGUCUUGUCUCAAUUUUAUCAGAUUGGUAAAACUUUUGUUAAAUAUCCUAUCAAACUAAUGUUUGAUAUUAUAUUUUUAUCCAUGAGCAAGAGAUAAUUUACUUCAUCAAGUAGAAGUUGGCCGACGUAGCAUACCGAAAAGGUGCCAAUUAAGCAAGUUAGUUGGACGAUAACAUAAGUAAGUAUACCCAUACCAUUACUUUCUUCCCAUUCCUAAAAUAUAACUAACAAUAUGUUAUCGAAAUUUACAUUAUUUUUUAUAUGUAACGUUCCUACCAUGAUUAUACAGUAACCAAUGAUACACAUAAUAAGUACUUGGAUAAAAACUUCGAUAAGAUAAAUAGCGGGUAUGAAUUGAUCAAGUUGAUUCAAAAAUCUGAAAGGAAGACUUUCGUAGAUCAAAUUACACUUUCUAAUUCGUACAAUUAAUAACUAUACAUCUUCCUUUCUUCUUUUCGAUACUCACUCUUUGAUCCUUAUCUGAUUCUCCACGAUGUACACGAUCUUCUCCUGCACAAUUUGUUCGUCAUUGUCAUUCGUCAGUUCCAUCACUUUGUUCGUCAGGAUCUUUAACAAACCGCACAUAUGCAUACACAGCAUCAAACAAAUACUCUUGGUGCUGCAUACAACUGUAUAAAUGACAAAUCCGCCGAAAACUUGCAGGAUGAAUAUUAUCUCGUAGUUCGGGCUAACUUGCUCGUCCAAGGAACCAAAGUAACCCGGACAAGGUAACAAUCUUAUAGUCAUAUUGUUCGAAACGAUUUUGCCUUUCGAAAAUGGAAGAAUCAUUCUGUAGAAAAAACCUCCACUGUAAACAGUGACCGCUAUUAUCGUCGUCAGCUUAUGCUCAAUGGAUGCCGUCGUGCUGAAAAUUUGUCGAUUCUCCUCCGUGGCUAUCGACCAAUCCUUCCUUAUCUCGUCCAAUAAUUUGCCAAUUUGCUUCAUUUGUCGUAAUAAAAUCGUGUAUUUAAUCAUUUGCACGAUACUGUUGAGAUGUGGCAUCAGCAAUUUGAUCUUCUUCUUUGGGUUUUUCUCUUUCAGAAAUACGUACAGAAGGCCUGGGAUCACGACUAUCAUUUGCAAUAAAUACGAGAUAAAAAUUAUGAAGGAAUUUAAAAUUUUGGAAAACGCGGAAGAAGUGACGCUCAGUGGCCAAUGACCAAGCAUUUUCGAGAACGGAUAUGCAAACCAAAAGGUAUGCUUCAACCCUUCUUUCGCGUUUCUAAUUUGGACCAUUUUUCAGGAUGAAAGCUUGUUCGUGACUGAUCAUGUUGUAUAUGGUAAUAUCGCCCUUUGAAGAACAUCAUUGCGCUUGCGUACAUGAAAUGUUAAAUACGUUUGCAAAUUGAGAAAUAAAUCGCUGCUAUUGAAACAAUUUUAUUUUUACGAAACUAUGAUAAAAUUGAUUGAAAUUAUAUGUAUGGAUUAUGCUUGAAUUGUACGAAAACUUUUGCGAAGUUUAUAGUUGAUGGGAUUGAUGAUUGCCAUUGUAGUAAGUAGAUAUGAAAGCCCACUAUUCAUGGGGGACAAGUUUUCUACAUAAUUAUGGUCAAUUAUUGAAAUUUCACAUAAAAUAGAAAAUAAUAUAAAAAUGAUUUCAAAUCUCUCAGUAUGAUUUUAUAGCAAAGUGUAUGUGCUUGAAUACUUGUGCAUAUUAUUUUCAAUUACUAUGUAUCCUGUUCAUCAAUUUAAUAAAUAUAAUUUAUUAAUACUCUUAGAAACAUUGAUAACUAUAGCGAAGCAUCGUGAAAUGCGACAAAAAAAUGACAGUUCUAUUCAAUCGUAUCGAUAAUAUCAUUUUAAUAAAAUUGUUUCUAGAACACGCAGAAGAACAAGUAUAUCUCUCUUCGAAUAAAGACACUAUCAUAUAAAUAAAAAUAAAUAAAAAAUAAAAAUUAUUUUCUAAUAAAAAAAACUACCAAAACUGUAUUAUUAUUAUUUUUAUUAUUAUUUUCUUAAAAUAUAAUUAAUAUUAUAGAAUAACUAUCUUGUAAUUAACGUUUUAGGAAUAUUCAACUAAAAUGUGUGAAUGAAGAAUAUUGAAAUAUAAGACAAUGUCUAAAGUGCAUACACAUAUUCUUGCGAAAAUAAAGAUAAAAUAUAAAAUAUCCAUACAUAACGUACAUCGAAUUUCUACUCACCUUUUAAUCUUCUGAUGUUCAACAGUAUUCAUAAUCUUUGCGGAUUCAAUUAUCUCUUUCACUGAAAUAGAUACAGAAGGCCUGGGACCAAGACUAUCAAUGAGAGCAAGUACGAGAUAAAAAUUAUAAAGGAAUUAAAAAUUUUGGAGAACGUGGAAGAUGGGAUGUUCAGUGGCCAGCAACCGACCAUUUUCGAGAGCGGAUAUGCAAAGCAAAGGAAAAGUUUUGCGAAGUUUAUAAUCGAUAGAAUGAAUGAUGACCAUUGUGGAGAGCAAAUAUGAAAAUAUUCAUGGGGGAGAAGUUUUCUAUAAUUAUGGGCCAAUUAUUGAAAUUCUAUAUAAAAGGAGAAUUUUCAUAAUUUCUACAUUAAAAGAAAAAUAAUGUAUAAACGAUUUUAAAAUUCUCUGUACGAUUUCAUAUCAUGAUGAAUAUGUACUUGAAUAUAUGCUUAAGAACACGUGUCAUAUUAUCUUCAAUCAACUGUAGUAUAUCAUGUAUUUCAUUUUAUAAAAAAUAUUAUUUGUCGAUAUUGAUAGCAGUACAAAACGUGACGGCCACCGUGAAAUAUGAUAAAGAAUAUAAUAUAAUAUCUUCAUAUAAAUAAAAUCAAACUGUAAAUAGUUGUAAAAUGAAAAAUGAGUUCCUGGAUUCUCGCAUACUUUAUUCAAUAUAUAUCAAACAUAUUUGGAAACUACAUAAUUUAAUAAAUUAAUAGAUACAUAAAAAUUUGAAAACAUAAAAAAUAAUAUUCUUAAUACUUACGUCGAUGAAAAAUACAUUUAGCAUUUUGACAAUUAUAAAAUUUAUAGGAUAAUUGAACAUAAUGAUCAACGGUAUUAAAUACUGGAUUUUUUUUCCAAAAAAUAAUACCAGUUUAAUAUGAUGUGCGAAAUAAUUGCUGUGAAAAAAAUGUUCAAUACUAAAUUCAUAUUAAAAUAAAUAACGUAGAGAAUAGUUGAGAAAUCCAACAAAAACUUGUAAAAAUAAUUCGAUAUUCUUAAAAAUCACGUAUUAAAUAUAGUAUCUAUAGUAGGAACCAAAAUAUAGUAUCUAUCUUAUAAUAAUAUAUCUUAUAAUCAUGUUAUCUAGUAGAAGAAUUCUUGGUGAGUAUCAGUACUUCUACCUUGGAAAAAUCAUUCAAUAAGCGAUACUAGAACUACAUAUAGCAGUCGUUAUGUCUAUCAUCAUACUGUGACCGAUAUUUGCCUCUGUGGUGAAAAUUCACAGAUUUCUUCAAACAAGUAAUUUUUCUUUAUCUAUAUAUUAUGUUAAAUUCCUUUACAAAAAAUUGAAAUUAUUUGCACUGCAUCUUAAGAAGUUUCAUAAACGCACUUUAAUAUUUUUUCAUAAAUUUCAUCUAUUCAUCACUUAAAAUAAUAUUAUAAUAAUUUUUUAAAAUUAAAGUUAAAACUUUUGAUAAAAAAUAUCUUGUAUGCGAUUAUAAUUUUGAAAGAAUUUAAUAUUUAUAAAUUCUAAAUAAGUUUUUUAACAAUAAUAAUGUUUCUUAUUUUAAUAAUUUUUUAUAUAUAUGGUAUAGUAUAGUAGUAUUUA